rnacentral:rRNA from 1 species
AACGAACGCUGGCGGCAUGCCUAACACAUGCAAGUCGAACGAGACCUUCGGGUCUAGUGGCGCACGGGUGCGUAACGCGUGGGAACCUGCCCUUAGGUUCGGAAUAACUCCCCGAAAGGGGUGCUAAUACCGGAUAAUGUCUUCGGACCAAAGAUUUUGCGCCUUUGGUUGGGCCCGCGUUGGUUUCGCUAGUUGGAAGGGUAAAAGCCUACCAAGGCGACGAUCCAUAGCUGGUCGGAGAGGAGGAUCAGCCGCACUGGGACUGGGACACGGCCCAGACGCGAAGGGGAGGCGGCGGGGGGGAAAAUAGGAGAGGGGGCAAAAGCUGAUACAGCAAUGCCGCGUGAGUGAUGAAGGCCGUAGGGUUGUAAAGCUCUUUUAGCCGGGAUGAUAAUGACAGUACCGGGAGAAUAAGCUCCGGCUAACUACGUG